CCCUUAGAUGUUCUGGGCCGCACGCGCGCUACACUGACGAAUGCAACGAGCUUAUAACCUUGGCCGAAAGGUCUGGGUAAUCUCCAAAUUUCGUCGUGAUGGGGAUAGAUUAUUGCAAUUAUUAAUCUUCAACGAGGAAUGCCUAGUAAGCGCAAGUCAUCAGCUUGCGUUGAUUACGUCCCUGCCCUUUGUACACACCGCCCGUCGCUCCUACCGAUUGAAUGGUCCGGUGAAGCGUUCGGACCGUGGCCUUUGGACGGUUCGCCGUCUGUUGGCUGCGGGAAGUUCGUUAAACCUUAUCAUUUAGAGGAAGGUGAAGUCGUAACA
rnacentral:rRNA from 1 species